CCCCAUAUUGACCCCUUCAACUGUACUGAGAACUUCUAUACCCUAUAGAACCUUUUAUGCUAAAACUAGUAACAAGAGUUAACCCUCUCCACAAUGCAAGUAUAAGCCAGCAAGAACCCGUCACUGGCAACUGACAGACCUAAACAAAAGUAGCAACUUAUACUAGAAAAAUCUACUUUACCUACUGUUAACCUAACACCAGAGCAUUUCAAGAAAGAUUAAAAGAAAAAGAAGGAACUCGGCAAACAUUAGCCCCGCCUGUUUACCAAAAACAUCGCCUCUUGCCCAUAUAAGAGGUCCAGCCUGCCCAGUGACUCUUGUUCAACGGCCGCGGUAUCCUAACCGUGCGAAGGUAGCGUAAUCACUUGUCUUCUAAAUAAAGACCAGUAUGAAAGGCAUCACGAGGACUAAACUGUCUCCUUUUUCUAAUCAGUGAACCUAAUCUCCCCGUGAAGAAGCGGGGGUUCUUAUAUAAGACGAGAAGACCCUAUGGAGCUUUAAACAUCACAACACCUGCCUCACAUUUUUAUCUACUCAGGUAUACCCCCUCACAGCACGCUGAUUGUAUGUUUUUGGUUGGGGUGACCGCGGAGAAAAACUAAUCCUCCGCAAUGAAAGGGACCUUCCCUAAACAAUAAGCCACAACUUUAUGUAUCCACAAAUUGACAUUCAUUGACCCAAUAUAUUUGAUUAACGAACCAAGUUACCCUAGGGAUAACAGCGCAAUCCACUUUAAGAGCCCCUAUCGACAAGUGGGCUUACGACCUCGAUGUUGGAUCGGGGUAUCCUAGUGGUGCAGCCGCUACUAAAGGUUCGUUUGUUCAACGAUUAAAACCCUACGUGAUCUGA
rnacentral:rRNA from 1 species